rnacentral:rRNA from 1 species
UACGUAGGGUGCGAGCGUUGUCCGGAAUUAUUGGGCGUAAAGGGCUCGUAGGCGGUUUGUCACGUCGGGAGUGAAAACUCAGGGCUUAACCCUGAGCCUGCUUCCGAUACGGGCAGACUAGAGGUAUGCAGGGGGAGAACGGAAUUCCUGGUGUAGCGGUGAAAUGCGCAGAUAUCAGGAGGAACACCGGUGGCGAAGGCGGUUCUCUGGGCAUUACCUGACGUGAGGAGCGAAAGUGUGGGGA